GUAAGCCGUGUGCGGGAGAACCGCACGCACGGUUUGACGGGCGGGAGCUGGAAACGGAGCAGCCCGGCCACGGACACGGCGAAGAACGACCCGGC
rnacentral:ncRNA from 1 species